GAUUAACGCUGGCGGCGUGCCUAACACAUGCAAGUCGAACGAUGAAACUUAAAUGAUUUCUUCGGAAUGAACUUAAGUGGAUUAGUGGCGGACGGGUGAGUAACGCGUGAGUAACCUGCCUUACACAAGGGGGUAGCCGUUGGAAACGACGAAUAAUACCCUAUGAAACUAUCACUUCGCAUGAAGCGAUAGUCAAAGUGUUAGCGGUGUAAGAUGGACUUGCGUCUGAUUAGCUAGUUGGUGAGAAAAAAGCCCACCAAGGCAACGAUCAGUAGCCGGCUUGGGAGAGUGUACGGCCACAUUGGGACUGAGACACGGCCCAGACUCCUACGGGAGGCAGCAGUGGGGAAUUUUGCACAAUGGGGGAAACCCUGAUGCAGCGACGCCGCGUGAUUUAGAAGGCCUUCGGGUUGUAAAAAUUUUUUGUAUAGGAAGAAAAUGACAGUACUAUACGAAUAAGGUCCGGCUAAUUACGUG
rnacentral:rRNA from 1 species